rnacentral:rRNA from 1 species
GACGAACGCUGGCGGCGUGCUUAACACAUGCAAGUCGAACGAUGAAGCCUUCGGGUGGAUUAGCGGCGAACGGGUGAGUAACACGUGGGCAAUCUGCCCUGUACUUUGGGAUAAGCCUUGGAAACGGGGUCUAAUACCGGAUAUCACUUCUGACCGCAUGGUUGGUUGUUGAAAGUUCUGGCGGUACAGGAUGAGCCCGCGGCCUAUCAGCUUGUUGGUGGGGUAAUGGCCUACCAAGGCGACGACGGGUAGCCGGCCUGAGAGGAUGACCGGCCACACUGGGACUGAGACACGGCCCAGACUCCUACGGGAGGCAGCAGUGGGGAAUAUUGCACAAUGGGCGAAAGCCUGAUGCAGCGACGCCGCGUGGGGAUGAC